UUUCUUUUACCUGGCUUUUAAAAACACAGAACAACAACCUUGGCCUACGGAGUCUAAGCUGCAAGCAAUUACUAGCUAGCUGUGGGGUUGCCAGCCUUCCUGGCCUUUCCUCAAACCCCAUGACCCACCCCACAGCUCUGGGUGGCCCUGGUGGAAGAGCAGGAUAGCACCACCCUGUACCUGGGCAGGUGUACUUAGAAGGCACCGUCUCUCGGUCUGGGCUACUUCCCUCAGAUUUCCCAGGAGACGGGAAUCUGCUCCAGGGACGGACACACACACACACACACACACACACACACACACACACACCAGCUGCAGUUCACAUAGUUCUUGGAUGCUGUGCCCUCAUGUGCCCACACACAUUCACUAUACACCUGUAAAGUGUCUUAAGGUACAGGGCAUUUCCCCAGCUGAUGGACAGCAUGGGAAAUGGCACACAUGUGCCCUCUGCCCUCUACAGGUCACACACUAACUAGUGAGGCCACACAGACACCAAUUCAGCGAGCAGACAAGGUCAGACAGGGUAAUAUGAUUAGGAAAACCGCUGGCCUUGUGAUGUGACAAACUAAGAUGACCUUUGUCAGGGAGGUGGCUGGGAGUGAAAAGAGACACCUUGCCGCCCCGCCCCACCCCCACCAUGGUAGGCUCCAGAGUUCUAGAACUCUAUCUAAUUAGGGGAACAGUCACUUCAAAGGUCCCAGCCCAAAUGUGGCAGAAGGUGAGUGAGUGCUGGGUCAGAGUGGACAAGGAAGAGUCCCAGCUGGCUCCAGCGAGCCUCCCUCCCCCUUCCCUGUCAGGGGCGCCUCCAGGUACAGAGAAAGCCAGACUAACCACUACUAGUCUGGGCGAGCUGUCAGCCAUCUGGGUCAAAUGAUGAACUGUGAGAUGAACAAGACUUGGAACCAAGUUCUUUCUUCAAGGUGUCCAGAAGAUCCCACCUCAGCCCUGCAGGGCAAUGUGUGGAUACCGGAGGAGUGAACACUAGGUUGGGAAGAAGGGAAGCAUCGACCACGGGCAGCCUCCUCUCACGGACAGUGCCACCGAGACCUUCUGUCAGCAGCCUCAUGCUUGGCUAGGGCUGCACGGGAGACGUGAACAGCACCAGGAGAGCCCUCCAUCCCCACAAGAUUGAGAAACCGAGGCACAGCAUUGUGCAACUCUUCUGUGCCACUUGGAUUGGAAGCUGAAUCCAGAGAGAGGGGCAGAGAUGGCUUUCAACACUGGGACAGGCAAGAGAGACGACAAGAUGAAGCUUAGAUGCCUCUGAGGUUCUAGGCACCAGCAUGAUGUUCAGGGUCGCUUGGGAAGUGUGGAUCUGGCUCUCGGGGCCCAUCACGGGGGCCUUGAAACAGUCACAUAGUACUUAGAGCAUGAAGCAGCUACCAUAAAAUAUCUUUUCACUCCAAUUACUUUUCAGACUAUUUUUUCUAAUUCACUUCCUGCAAAAUCUGACAGAUUAGGUAAAUAUGUCUUUUUUAUAAAUGAAGCACGUUAAAAUAGCUAAAUAGUUCCUGUCUAAUUAUCUCUAGCGUCUUGAAGGGUUCUGUCUUCUACAUAGCC